rnacentral:rRNA from 1 species
AACGAACGCUGGCGGCAUGCCUAACACAUGCAAGUCGAACGAGACCUUCGGGUCUAGUGGCGCACGGGUGCGUAACACGUGGGAACCUGCCCUUAGGUUCGGAAUAACUCCCCGAAAGGGGUGCUAAUACCGGAUAAUGUCUUCGGACCAAAGAUUUAUCGCCUUUGGAUGGGCCCGCGUUGGAUUAGCUAGUUGGUAGGGUAAAAGCCUACCAAGGCGACGAUCCAUAGCUGGUCUGAGAGGAUGAUCAGCCACACUGGGACUGAGACACGGCCCAGACUCCUACGGGAGGCAGCAGUGGGGAAUAUUGGACAAUGGGCGAAAGCCUGAUCCAGCAAUGCCGCGUGAGUGAUGAAGGCCUUAGGGUUGUAAAGCUCUUUUACCCGGGAUGAUAAUGACAGUACCGGGAGAAUAAGCGCCGGCUAACUCCGUG